UAAAAGACUCGGAUCCUGACUGUAGCAGAACAUCGCUGGCCGAGAAUUUGCUCCUUCGAACCUUUUAAACUUUUAUCUUGGGUGACAAAAAGUGACCAUAGCUAACGGCUCGUUGCAACAGAGGCCAUCUGAGCCCGAGUAGGAACGUGACAGGGAGUCCGUGGCGUAGCUAGGGGUCUGCGUAAUAGUAUGAGAGGGUCUAACCCAAUGGUCAUACAGAAUUAUCCACUUUGACGUAUAUUACAUUUCCUUUUAUCCCAGAAUUUUGUCUAAGAGGCCCAUCAAGGGGCUCCAACUUCUUUGUGAAGAGGCAAACGAGCUGCGGUUGAGAAACGAAGCUUCGAAACAGCGUUUGAACUUCGAAGCUUCCCAGCACCUCUGUUUCCUCUUCAGUGGCUGGGCCGGGCGGAGGAUGAACUCACGCUCUGUCCUCGUUGUGCUGUGCUCCUCAACGGUGCCUCCAGCAGGGGUGGUGGUCGGCGUGUGUUGCCCCGGCAGUGAGGAGCGGCGGGCUGAGCGCUGCCAGGCUGGGCUGUGGAUACGCGAUACCUCCGUGGUGACCCCGCAAGAACAGCCACCACCACGGAGGCAGGAACCAUCAUGGCCACCACCUCCAUCACCACCACAGCCAUAGCUCGCCCUCACCGCCCCACUGACCUGCUCAACCCAUUGCUUUCACAUCCCGCCUGUCUGUCGGCUCCACGAGCCCGUGACGGUCCUGCCUCCAGCGCUUCAGUGUCCCGGUAAACCCGUCCUGCCCUGCGCCUGGUCCCUGAUGUGUGUUGGACUCCCUCAUCCUCGUCCUGGUCCAAGUAGGAUGGUUUGCCUCAAGUAACAGGCUCCUCACAAGACUUGCAAGCUCCCCAUCUCAGCUCAUGCCCCAUAUACCUGCAUGGAACAUUAGUUUUUUCCUUCUUUCUGCUCUCAUUUAUUAUACUGAGGUAAUAAUCUUUUCCACUGGUCUGAAAAUCCAGUAGUCCGAGUUCUUGAAAGCAGGACACUGAAGUAAAAAUAGACCAGCACAUUUUUAAGGCAAGGUACUUACUACAAUCCCUCAAAAUAAAUUAAAGAUUCUAAAUCAGAGAGUACAGUCAAUUAACUUUUAUUUUGAAUUAUACAAAACUUUGAUUACAGUUGACUUCUCAUUCGUUGCCACAGGAACUGAACAAAACAAUUUUGACAGACGACAAUUAAGCUGAAGGUGCCUUGACCCCUGUGAUGUGAUGCCCUGUGCUGUGCUUGUAUUCCAAUUGUACUCCGAUGUGAUGUUAUAUUAUUUACUUGUUAUACGGCUUGUGGGACAGGACAAGGGACUAAACCAGAGAUAAAAAAAGACCACAACUCAUUGCUAGUUUGCUACCAUAAAGUAAGACGAGUUAAAACAUGAUCAAAUUAGCUUCAAGAGGUGCCUCGGCACUCACUUCUUGAGGGUUCAAGUCAAGGGAAGAAAGUAUAACAGUAGGCGAGUCUUUUCCAGUUUUAACAGUCAAGGCGAUGACAGUGAACGUAAUGGGAAUAAGGCAGCAGUGAGGCCAAAGGAGGCAUGCAGCCAGAAAGUUCAUAGAUGUUAUAAUGAAACAGAUAGCAAACAAAGCAACACUGCAGUAAGUUUUAUGGAUAGAAGACAUUCACUGUGAGCUAGUGAUGGGAAUGGUUUGAUUCUUCAUUUUUUACUACUGAAUACUGUACAGAUUAGUCACGCCAAUAAUUCAUAAGACAAAACACUUGGGGGUUAAGACACCUUGUUUUGCCGGCCUCCAUUAUGAGGCGUUACAAAACUUCAUAUUAAAAUUAUCAUGUAAAUACAUAAGCUAUUUUACUGCAUUAAGUAUACAAUAUUAAAAAUUAUCUUCGAAUUCCAGUGUUCAUACAAUCAGAGAAAUGUGUUAUUUAGAAGAGAUAACACAAAGAAAAAGCUUGUUAAAAAGUAAGUUCACAACACAUUUUGUAGUAACCAGGCAUGUGCAAGUGUAGACCACAACACAAACUUGGAAACCCUUACAUCUAAUAACAGGAACUGCAUGUAGUCUCUCACACACACACACACACACACACACACACACACACAC